UUUCCGUAGGUGAACCUGCGGAAGGAUCAUUAUUGUAUAACCGAGGUGCGAGGGCUGUCGCUGACCCGAAAGGUCGUGCACGCCCGAGUGCCCUCACCCACAUCCAUCUCACCCCUAUGUGCACCACCGCGUGGGUCCCCCUUUGGCUUGUUCGGAGGGGGGCUUACGUUUUCACACAAACUUUGUAUGCAGUGUAGAGUGUAUUUUUUGUUUUUGCGAUCACGCAAUCAAUACAACUUUCAACAACGGAUCUCUUGGCUCUC
rnacentral:misc_RNA from 1 species